rnacentral:rRNA from 1 species
CUACGGGGUGCACCAGUAGGGAAUCUUCCACAAUGGGCGAAAGCCUGAUGGAGCAACGCCGCGUGAGUGAAGAAGGUUUUCGGAUCGUAAAACUCUGUUGUAAGGGAAGAACAAGUACAGUAGUAACUGGCUGUACCUUGACGGUACCUUAUUAGAAAGCCACGGCUAACUACGUGCCAGCAGCCGCGGUAAUACGUAGGUGGCAAGCGUUGUCCGGAAUUAUUGGGCGUAAAGCGCGCGCAGGCGGUCCUUUAAGUCUGAUGUGAAAGCCCACGGCUCAACCGUGGAGGGUCAUUGGAACUGGGGGACUUGAGUGCAGAAGAGGAAAGUGGAAUUCCAAGCGUAGCGGUGAAAUGCGUAGAGGUUUGGAGGAACACCAGUGGCGAAGGCGACUUUCUGGUCUGUAACUGACGCUGAGGCGCGAAAGCGUGGGGAGCAAACAGGAUUAGAUACCCGUGUAGUC